ensembl:ncRNA
UAGGAACUUAAUACCGUGCUCU